rnacentral:lncRNA from 1 species
CAGCUGAUUCAAAUAAUCAACUCGUCAUCAAGCUUUGAUUAUUUGAAUCAGCUGUAUAAUGCUAGGGCAAAAACUAAAAUGUGUACGCCUUUGGGUCCCUAGGACCAAGUUUGGGAAGCGCUGCCCUAGAUGCACCAAUUCCUCCAAUUUUAAAGUGUAUUGUAGAUCAUUCCACACGUAAGGUGCAAGGAAAUGAAGUGCUGAUUUACCUAACUCUCUGGAAACCAAAGGAGGCUCCAGAGUUAACCAACCCUGUGAACGGGUUUAACAACUUGUUAUUUUAAAUCUUAACAGUCAUGUUAGGUAAGUCGGAAGUUUGUGGAGCAAGUCUUUGUAAACAAAAAGAGCUUAAUGAUGUGAUCUACAUGACUUCAAAGAGGUCCAGCCAACCUUUUGGUAAAGAAUACAGUGAUGAGUAAUUAAACUUUCUCCUGUGAUAAAACAAAGGGAGCUAUAAAAAAACCGGCAUCCAGGGGUUUAGGAGUAGAGGCAGCUGCACUUUGAUAAAUAGUAUCACCAUAACAACAGGUAGAAAGGUUAAUAAAUAGUAUCACCAUAACAACAGGGAGAAAGGUUGAUAAAUAGUAUUACCAUAACAACAGGUAGAAAGGUUGAUAAAUAGUAUCACCAUAACAACAACAGGUAGAAAGGUUGAUAAAUAGUAUCACCAUAACAACAGGUAGAAAGGUUGAUAAAUAGUAUCACCAUAACAACAGGUAGAAAGGUUGAUAAAUAGUAUCACCAUAACAACAUGUAGAAAGGUUGAUAAAUAGUAUCACCAUAACAACAGGUAGAAAGGUUGAUAAAUAAUAUCACCAUAACAACAGGUAGAAAGGUUGACUGCACAAUCUGCUUCCUGUUGACUAGGGAGACAAGAUCUGUUUCCUGUUGACUGGAGAGAGACAAGAUCUGUUUCCUGUUGACUAGAGAGAGACAAGAUCUGUUUCCUGUUGACUAGAGAGAGACAAGAUCUGUUUCUGUAUAAAAAAAAAGCCCACUUUAAAUCUUAGUUUCUUAUUAACAAGCACAGUUGUAUGUUUUUUAAACAAUAAAUCACUGUCAAUCCAAGUACCAAGGUAUUUGUAUGCAGGGACUCGUUUGAUUCUAGAACCAUCUGAUGAGUAAAGAUGUCAUCCGUCUGAGACAAUCUUACCAGAACUUGAAAACAACAUGUAAGUAGUUUUGCCCGUAUUAAAGCACCAGUUUUAAAUCAGUAAGGACUUCCUGCACAACUGCUAAAUCAGACUGUAGCCUUGUCUCAGCCAGGUCAGCAGGGCGGGUAAUGGGACUGUAGUAUUGUCACAGCCAGGUCAGCAGGGCGGGUAAUGGGACUGUAGUAUUGUCACAGCCAGGUCAGCAGGGCGGGUAAUGGGACUGUAGCCUUGUCACAGCCAGGUCAGCAGGGCGGGUAAUGGGACUGUAGUAUUGUCUCAGCCAGGUCAGCAGGGCGGGUAAUGGGACUGUAGUAUUGUCUCAGCCAGGUCAGCAGGGCGGGUAAUGGGACUGUAGUAUUGUCUCAGCCAGGUCAGCAGGGUGGGUAAUGGGACUGUAGCCUUGUCUCAGCCAGGUCAGCAGGGCGGGUAAUGGGACUGUAGCCUUGUCUCAGCCAGGUCAGCAGGGCGGGUAAUGGGACUGUAGUCUUGUCUCAGCCAGGUCAGCAGUCUGCUGUAAUUACGUACAUGAAAGUAUCAGUUGUGUAUACAGUUGAAGUCGGAAGUUUACAUUCACUUAGCUAGAGUCAUUAAAACUCGUUUUUCAACCACUCUACAAAUUUCUUGUUAACAAACUAUAGUUUUGGCACGUCGGUUAGGACAUUUACUUUGUGCAUGACACAAGUCAUUUUUCCUUCAAUUGUUUACAGACAGAUUAUUUCACGUAUAAUUCACUGUAUCACAAUUCCAGUGGGUCAGAAGUUUACAUACACUAAGUUGACUGUGCCUUUAAACAGCCUGGAAAAUUCCAG